GGGAGUGCGGAGACCCUGCCCAUCCCCUGAAUUCCGAACACAGGCUGGUGGGCCGAGGGUCGGGAGGAGCCGGGUGCCGUGGAAUCCAGUCAAGGCUUUCCCCGCCCCCUGCCCUUCCCCUGAACUUACUCUCCCGGCUCCAGUUCUGCCGGAAGGCCGUGCCUUUGCCUAAUUUGGUGGGUCCAAGAGGCUAAACUUCGGGGCCACGAACCCUCAGCAGAUCUGAGUUCUAGUCACUGCUCUACCCACGACCCCAGGACGGGACUAAAGAUUUUGGCCAAGUUCCCUAAUCUCCCCGAGCGACUGUUUUCUCAGAGGCGAAUUAGAAAGAGUUUGACCUUCACGGUUCUGCUGUGAAGAUCAAAAGCGGUGGAGUGAACGUGGAAAGGAAGAGGAAGGACCCCUUCCGUGUCCUGGACGGCUUACCAGUCCCUCCACAGACAUUUAAUCCUCACAACCAACCCGAAGGAGAGGCGGCCGCUCCGUUCUAGACGCGAGUCCGAUUCCCAGAGGCUGACUCGCUCAAGGCCACAGCGCUGAGUGAUACACAUCUUUAUCGCUGCCAUGGUCGUUGGGCCUUCUACUGGGGACCAGAUUUUGUAACAGGAAUCAUACAGAUGGAGAGGAAAAAAGAAGAGCUAGAAGACGCUAAGCUGCCCUGGGAACAGGGAGGAAAAGUAUGAUAAGAGUCAAAGGAGGAAGAAAUGGAAGUUUUAAUGGAAGAUGAUGAAAAAACAAGAGGCCAAGCUUUGUCUACUGAAAGGGCCUAGAAGCAGAGACACCCCAGUAGCAAUGAACACCUACAACUCAAAUCUUGGCUGCUAAUUCCAAGAGCUCCUCAAAGAAAUGGCCAGUUCCAGAGCUGGGACAAGACUUAAAAAGUACCUUAGCCUCUGAGAUCCAGGAUAUGGACUUCAGUGGAUUGUCUGGAUCCAUGGAAACUGGUCAGUAGGGCAAACUUCAAGUCAAGGAGG